rnacentral:rRNA from 1 species
GACGAACGCUGGCGGCGUGCUUAACACAUGCAAGUCGAACGGAAAGGCCCCUUUGGGGGUACUCGAGUGGCGAACGGGUGCGUAACACGUGAGUAACCUGCCCUUGACUUCGGGAUAACUUCAGGAAACUGGGGCUAAUACCGGAUAGGAAUCCUUGCUGCAUGGUGGGGGUUGGAAAGCUUCGGCGGUUUUGGAUGGACUCGCGGCUUAUCAGCUUGUUGGUGGGGUAGUGGCUUACCAAGGCUUUGACGGGUAGCCGGCCUGAGAGGGCGACCGGCCACAUUGGGACUGAGAGACGGCCCAGACUCCUACGGGAGGCAGCAGUGGGGAAUAUUGCACAAUGGGCGGAAGCCUGAUGCAGCAACGCCGCGGGCGGGAUGACGGCCUUCGGGUUGUAAACCGCUUUCAGCAGGGGCGAAGCUUGUGGUGACGGUACCUGCAGAAGAAGCACCGGCUAACUACGUG